GACGGGGUGCAGCAGGCGCGAAACCACCGCAAUGUGAGAAAUCGCGACGGGGGGAUCCCAAGUGCUAUUCUUAACGGGAUGGCUUUUCUUAAGUGUAAAAAGCUUUUGGAAUAAGAGCUGGGCAAGACCGGUGCCAGCCGCCGCGUAAUUCA
rnacentral:rRNA from 1 species